rnacentral:rRNA from 1 species
GACGUUGUAAAAACGACGGCCAGUGAAUUGUAAUACGACUCACUAUAGGGCGAAUUGGGCCCUCUAGAUGCAUGCUCGAGCGGCCGCCAGUGUGAUGGAUAUCUGCAGAAUUCGGCUUCCUACGGGAGGCAGCAGUGGGGAAUUUUCCGCAAUGGGCGCAAGCCUGACGGAGCAAGACCGCGUGGGGGAGGAAGACUCUUGGGUUGUAAACCCCUUUUCUCAGGGAAGAACAAAUGACGGUACCUGAGGAAUCAGCCUCGGCUAACUCCGUGCCAGCAGCCGCGGUAAUAAGCCGAAUUCCAGCACACUGGCGGCCGUUACUAGUGGAUCCGAGCUCGGUACCAAGCUUGGCGUAAUCAUGGUCAUAGCUGUUUCCUGUG